rnacentral:rRNA from 1 species
CUGUACAGUUCAGUAGUUUGAUCCUGGCUCAGGACGAACGCUGGCGGCGUGCUUAACACAUGCAAGUCGAACGGGGAUCAUUUGGAUGAGAGCUUCGGCAGGAAUCCGAAUGAUUCGAGUGGCGGACGGGUGAGUAACGCGUGAGCAACCUGUCCCAGACAGGGGGAUAACACUUGGAAACAGGUGCUAAUACCGCAUGAGACCACGGGAUGGCAUCAUCCUGGGGUAAAAGGAGAGAUCCGGUUUGGGGUGGGCUCGCGUCCGAUUAGAUAGUUGGUGAGGUAACGGCCCACCAAGUCGACGAUCGGUAGCCGACCUGAGAGGGUGAUCGGCCACAUUGGAACUGAGAGACGGUCCAA